GAUGAACGCUAGCGGCAGGCCUAACACAUGCAAGUCGAGGGGCAUCAUGGCGUAGCAAUACGCUGAUGGCGACCGGCGCACGGGUGCGUAACGCGUAUGGAACCUACCCACCGCAGGGGGAUAACCCGCCGAAAGGCGGACUAAUACCCCAUGGUUCCCCGACCCUGCCUGGGGUUGGGGGUAAAGCCUACGGGCGGCGGUGGAUGGCCCUGCGUGCCAUUAGCUGGCUGGUGGGGUAACGGCCCACCAGGGCGACGAUGGCUAGGGGGUCUGAGAGGACGAUCCCCCACACUGGUACUGAGACACGGACCAGACUCCUACGGGAGGCAGCAGUCGAGAAUAGUCUACAAUGGACGAAAGUCUGAUAGUGCGACGCCGCGUGAACGAAGAAUCCUUUCGGGGUGUAAAGUUCUUUUCUAUGUGAGCAGUUCCUUUUAUAUGAAGAGUAUAGGAGGCGGGAUUUAAGCAUAGGAAUAAGCAACGGCUAACUCCGUGCCAGCAGCCGCGGUAAA
rnacentral:rRNA from 1 species